UGGGGAAUAUUGGACAAUGGGCGAAAGCCUGAUCCAGCAAUGCCGCGUGAGUGAUGAAGUAUUUCGGUAUGUAAACUUCGUAAGAAUAGGAAGAAUAAAUGACGGUACUAUUUGUAAGGUCCGGCUAACUACGUGCCAGCAGCCGCGGUAAUACGUAGGGACCAAGCGUUGUUCGGAUUUACUGGGCGUAAAGGGCGCGUAGGCGGUGUGUCAAGUCAGUUGUGAAAUCUCCGAGCUUAACUCGGAACGGUCAACUGAUACUGUCAUACUAGAGUACAGAAGGGGCAAUCGGAAUUCUUGGUGUAGCGGUGAAAUGCGUAGAUAUCAAGAGGAACACCUGAGGCGAAGGCGGGUUGCUGGGCUGAUACUGACGCUGAGGCGCGAAAGCUAGGGUAGCAAACGGGAUUAGAUACCCCCUGAGCGGGCUGGCAAGGCGCAU
rnacentral:rRNA from 1 species